UACACCAGAGGACUUUGUGUUUCCAUUGC
rnacentral:piRNA from 1 species